rnacentral:lncRNA from 1 species
UUUUUUCCUGUCUUGCUUAUUUUUACUUGCUUUAAAAUGUUUCCAUCCAGGAGCUCUGAGCACAUGGAUAGUCCAUUGAUUGGCUCUGCUUUGCGCGAGGAUAAGUGUCUAAAUCCUCACCCGCCUUCUGUGUCCUGAAACUGCUCUGGUUGACUAUGAUGGAACAAAGUGUAUUGCCAAAAGAAAACACUGUCUGUUCUCCUACAGCUUAGAUGAGAAGCCUGGCCUGGCCAGCAGCCAGUGACUUGUCUGGGAGUCAUGAUGCCGACACGGCGGUGAGCAGCCACGGGGAGAGCGGGAGAACCCAUGGGCUAGAGGGGGCAAGGACCCGGCUUGGCAUCUCUGAGCAGGAUCCGGACGAGCCCGAGCUGAGCAUGCCAGAGCCAGCGCCGCUCGGCGUGGACAAGAAAGCAGCAGAGAAGAAGCGGGUGGAGAAGGUGGGAGCCAAAGGCAGCACCACCGGGCCUCCAGUCCCCAAGAGCCUCCCCGUGCAGAGGAAGGUGGAGCCCCCCAGCCUGGACCCUGCGGAGGAGCCGCUCCUCUGGGAAGGGCUCACCCUCAACAAGUGCAUCCUGGUGGCCUCGGUCGUCGCCCUGCUCAGCGUCACCUUCCAGGUGCUCCAAGCACCAUGCUCCAGGGAAGGGGUCACCCGCGGCCAGCAGGACCCUCCGCCACCUCCCCUCCACGAGGUGGUCAGUGCCAAGGAGGAGGAGGUCCAGGAAACGGUGACUGCCCAGCCUGCCCAGCCGGAGAGCAGCGUGUUCAAGGACGAUGAUGGGGACGAUGAUGAUGAUGAUGACGGUGACGAUGACAGCGAUGCUGACAGCAACCUGGCAGAGCCCUGGAUCUUCAAGAAGUGGUUUGGCCGCUCAGCACCAGAAGACAGGGACGAAGAGCCUGUGGAUGUCCCUGAGGUGCCACCAGCUCCGACAGAGGUGAAGAAGAGCCGGGAGAAGAAGCUGGAGAAGGAGGAGAAGAAGGAAGAGAAGGAGGAAGAGAAGGAGGAGAAGGAGGAGAAGAAAGAGAAGAAGGAGGAGAAGAAGGAGGAGAAGAAGGAGAAGGCUCGGGAGGGUCGUGCCACCCAGGCGGAGCGGAGCAGCCGGAGGGAGGCACGAGCCAAGGACAGAGCACUGGGGGACAAACCCGGCAGAGCCCCCAGGGCCCCCCGGGAACAGGAGCAGCAGCCCCAGAAGAAGCGGAGCCGGGAGGGGAGGGAGAGCCGGCGGGAGAGGGACGAGCCCAGGAAGGAGGGGUGGAAGGGCCGUCCCGGCAGGGCUGACGGUGGCAGGGAGAGCCCGAAGCGGGACUGGCGGCAGCAGAAGGGCAGGAGGCCCUGGGAGCUGGCGGCCGCCCCGGGGAGGGACGGCACUGCCAGGCCCAGGGAGGGCAAGAGACGUGACUGAGGCUGGGGCGACCGAGGGGCUCCGUGACGCUGAAUCCAGGGGGGUCCAACCCCACCACUGCCCCCAGCAAGGGCACCCUGUAGCUCCCUGCCUGCUCUCCAGAGACAUCCCAGGCUGGCAGCACAGGCAGCGCUCCAGGAUCUCCGAGCAGCAGCAGGGCAGCCCAGGAGCCUGGCACGAGCCUCCCCAGGGACUUUGGGCCCCCCUGGAUUAGUUUUUCAAAGGCAACCUGAAAGGACCAGGGGGGGGAAGGACCUUCCCUUUAUCUGGGCUUCGCGCUAGUUCCCCAUCCCCACCUGAAAUCUCUCCUGCGGUUCAUUUUCACUCGUGGGCAUCGGGGCGGCACAGUGGGUACCAGGAUCCCAGUGAACAGAGUUUAUCUCCAGACUGUGUAGCUCUUCAAUUCAGUUACUGGUUUUAUUCAAAGCAAAUCAAGAGAGAAGUGUGUUCUGGGUUAACAAAGCCAGGCUGCAGCCGUCCUCGGAGGGGUGUCAGGGGAACAACCACCCCAACCCGUGCCGGGCCCCGGUGCCAUCGCUGCAGGGUGGUGCGGAGCUUGCUGGUAACCAAGCAGUGCUGGAGAGCCCAUCACCCGGGGAGCCCUUCGGGCCUUGCCUUCACAGAGUCGCUUUUAGGAAUGAAACCCAAGUGCAAUAUCACACAGCGCUGUAGCAACUACAGGAGACGUCCACAGCCCCAAGCCAUGGCAAGUUUAAGUAUUUGCUAAGUCAAUAGAGGUUAAAAUAAACUAUUUUCAUUUUUAAUAAGGUAUUAAAUU